UACAGAGGGUGCAAGCGUUAAUCGGAAUUACUGGGCGUAAAGCGUGCGUAGACGGUUAUGUAAGUCAGAUGUGAAAGCCCCGGGCUUAACCUGGGAACUGCAUUUGUGACUGCAUGGCUGGAGUGCGGCAGAGGGGGAUGGAAUUCCGCGUGUAGCAGUGAAAUGCGUAGAUAUGCGGAGGAACACCGAUGGCGAAGGCAAUCCCCUGGGCCUGCACUGACGCUCAUGCACGAAAGCGUGGGGAGCAAACAGG
rnacentral:rRNA from 1 species